UCCAAUCAUACAACUCCCGCGCACGGUAGCAGGGCGCACCGGCCAAGGCAGUUUGUAACGGAUAUCGCCUUCACUUGGCGUGGAUGACUCCCACCCAUUUUAUCUUGUCAACAGCCAACCAGGUUCCAAGCUGACAUUGGGCCUAGUGGCCAAGAAGCAGUAAAACUCUGCUCACAUCAGGCUCACAACCACACCUGGGCCUACGGUCUCAGGACAAAACUCUGAUUCUGCUUCCGCUCGCGCACACAAAUCUCGAUCCGAUCCCACUACAACAAUCUACUGGUAUCGAUUCCUUUCUCUAAACGAUCCUGGGCGCCCCGGUGUGUCCAUCCAGCGGUUUCCCCAAACGCGAAAAUUUUUGGGCUGCCGCUGGGUGCCGCCCGCCGCGGCGCGGCGCUACAACCGCACUAGUUGUGUCCGGAGUGCGCUGUUUAACAGUGCUGUAGUUAUUCAGCCAAGGAGUCGCACGAUCGGCUGGUGUGUUGCACCAGAUAUGCUGUCCACUAAGAUUAUGUGAAGUGAACGAGUCUGGACAGGCAAAGUUAGGACAGAGGGAAUUGUCGUUUCGUACGUUACAGGAUGCAUCGAUCGUG
rnacentral:lncRNA from 1 species